ACAUCAGUAUUUGCUAAGCCUGCACAUCAGCUGAGACUCAUCUACAAGCAACUAGGAAAUGAACUGAGUAUUAAGGAAAUAAACUGAGCAAGUCCCAGUCUGAGUUUCUGCUUCAAAUACAAGGUAUCUCCAGCAGUGUCUGGCCUGGCAUGGCUUUCUCCUGGGGAAGGGGCCUGAGAGGCAAAUUGGAUCCAGCUGGUCUUGCUUACAGUAUAAUAAACUGUAGAAAGUUGAAUGAAUAGUGAACUGUUGUACGAAAAUCUCAAUGCUAUCAGUAUGUCUGCUACUGUGUUUUGAAAACAGGAGUAUGUACUGGACUAUUUGCAGUCCUGUUUCACAUGCUUAAGCUGUGAAUAAAUAAAAACUGAGAUACGUGUUUGAACUUCA